rfam:Candidatus Saccharibacteria bacterium GW2011_GWA2_46_10 TX30_C0007, whole genome shotgun sequence.
UAAGAUUUCAUCUAUUGACCGAAGACAGUAGCUUCCCGCCCUUUUAAGUGACAAUCAAUGGUAAAAGAACGGGAUUAAUCUGCUACCGAGGUAAAGAAAUUUUUUACUGGACUAGUCUUUGGUUUAAAACCAAAGUUUUUUUAAUUUUAGC